rnacentral:tRNA from 1 species
GGGCCCGUAGCUCAGCCUGGAUAGAGCACUAGCCUUCUACAAGGAAGCUUAAAGAAAGCUAGGGGUCGCAGGUUCAAAUCCUGUCGGGCCCG